rnacentral:rRNA from 1 species
AACGUAGGGGACGAGCGUUGUCCGGAUUUAUUGGGCGUAAAGAGCGCGCAGGCGGCUUCGCAAGUCGGGUGUGAAAAUCCGGGGCUCAACCCCGGACCUGCAUUCGAUACUGCGUGGCUAGAGGCAGGCAGGGGAGAUCGGAAUUCCUGGUGUAGCGGUGAAAUGCGCAGAUAUCAGGAGGAACACCGGUGGCGAAGGCGGAUCUCUGGGCCUGUCCUGACGCUCGAGGCGCGAAAGCUAGGGGAGCAAACAGG